UACGUAGGGGGCAAGCGUUGUCCGGAAUCAUUGGGCGUAAAGAGCGUGUAGGCGGCUAGAUAGGUCCGUUGUGAAAACUCGAGGCUCAACCUCGAGACGUCGAUGGAAACCAUCUGGCUAGAGUCCGGAAGAGGAGAGUGGAAUUCCUGGUGUAGCGGUGAAAUGCGCAGAUAUCAGGAAGAACACCCGUGGCGAAGGCGGCUCUCUGGUACGUGACUGACGCUGAGACGCGAAAGCGUGGGGAGCGAACAGG
rnacentral:rRNA from 1 species